AUUGAACGCUGGCGGCAUGCCUUACACAUGCAAGUCGAACGGUAACAGGUCUUCGGAUGCUGACGAGUGGCGAACGGGUGAGUAAUACAUCGGAACGUGCCCGAGAGUGGGGGAUAACGAGGCGAAAGCUUUGCUAAUACCGCAUACGAUCUCAGGAUGAAAGCAGGGGACCGCAAGGCCUUGCGCUCACGGAGCGGCCGAUGGCAGAUUAGGUAGUUGGUGGGAUAAAAGCUUACCAAGCCGACGAUCUGUAGCUGGUCUGAGAGGACGACCAGCCACACUGGGACGGAGACACGGCCCAGACUCCUACGGGAGGAAGGAGUGGGGAAUUUUGGACAAUGGGCGAAAGCCUGAUCCAGCCAUGCCGCGUGCAGGAUGAAGGCCUUCGGGUUGUAAACUGCUUUUGUACGGAACGAAAAGACUCUGGUUAAUACCCGGGGCUCAUGACGGUACCGUAAGAAUAAGCACCGGCUAACUACGUGCCAGCAGCCGCCGUAA
rnacentral:rRNA from 1 species